rnacentral:rRNA from 1 species
UACGAAGGGGGCUAGCGUUGCUCGGAAUCACUGGGCGUAAAGGGUUCGUAGGCGGGUCUUUAAGUCAGGGGUGAAAUCCUGGAGCUCAACUCCAGAACUGCCUUUGAUACUGAAGAUCUUGAGUUCGGGAGAGGUGAGUGGAACUGCGAGUGUAGAGGUGAAAUUCGUAGAUAUUCGCAAGAACACCAGUGGCGAAGGCGGCUCACUGGCCCGAUACUGACGCUGAGACGCGAAAGCGUGGGGAGCAAACAGG